AACGAACGCUGACGGCAUGCCUAACACAUGCAAGUCGAACGAGACCUUCGGGUCUAGUGGCGCACGGGUGCGUAACGCGUGGGAACCUGCCCUUAGGUUCGGAAUAACUCCCCGAAAGGGGUGCUAAUACCGGAUAAUGUCUUCGGACCAAAGAUUUAUCGCCUUUGGAUGGGCCCGCGUUGGAUUAGCUAGUUGGUAGGGUAAAAGCCUACCAAGGCGACGAUCCAUAGCUGGUCUGAGAGGAUGAUCAGCCACACUGGGACUGAGACACGGCCCAGACUCCUACGGGAGGCAGCAGUGGGGAAUAUUGGACAAUGGGCGAAAACCUGAUCCAGCAAUGCCGCGUGAGUGAUGAAGGCCUUAGGGUUGUAAAGCUCUUUUACCCGGGAUGAUAAUGACAGUACCGGGAGAAUAAGCUCCGGCUAACUCCGUG
rnacentral:rRNA from 1 species